rnacentral:rRNA from 1 species
GAUGAACGCUGACAGAAUGCUUAACACAUGCAAGUCUACUUGAAUUUGGGUUUUUUAACUUAGAUUUGGGUGGCGGACGGGUGAGUAACGCGUAAAGAACUUGCCUCACAGCUAGGGACAACAUUUGGAAACGAAUGCUAAUACCUGUUAUUAUGAUUAUAAGGCAUCUUAGACUUAUGAAAGCUAUAUGCGCUGUGAGAGAGCUUUGCGUCCCAUUAGCUAGUUGGAGAGGUAACGGCUCACCAAGGCGAUGAUGGGUAGCCGGCCUGAGAGGGUGAACGGCAAGAAGGGGACUGAGACACGGCCCUUACUCCUACGGGAGGCAGCAGUGGGGAAUAUUGGACAAUGGACCAAGAGUCUGAUCCAGCAAUUCUGUGUGCACGAUGACGUUUUUCGGAAUGUAAAGUGCUUUCAGUUGGGAAGAAAAAAAUGACGGUACCAACAGAAGAAGUGACGGCUAAAUACGUG